rnacentral:rRNA from 1 species
AGAGUUUGAUCCUGGCUCAGAACGUACGCUGGCGGCACGCCUGAUACAUGCAAGUCGAACGAGGUAGCAAUACCUAGUGGCAGACGGGUGAGUAACAUGUGGGUACCUUCCCUUUGGUGAGGAAUAACACGAGGAAACUUGUGCUAAUACCUCAUAAGUCUUUACGGAGAAAGCUUUAUGCGCCAAUGGAUGGGCCCGCACUUGAUUAGUUAGUUGGUAGGGUAAUGGCCUACCAAGACUUUGAUCAAUAGCUGAUUUGAGAGGAUGAUCAGCCACAUUGGGACUGAGACACGGCCCAAACUCCUACGGGAGGCAGCAGUAGGGAAUCUUGCACAAUGGAGGAAACUCUGAUGCAGCGAUGCCGCGUGAGUGAAGAAGGCCUUUGGGUUGUAAAGCUCUUUCGUCGGGGAAGAAAAUGACUGUACCCGAAUAAGAAGGUCCGGCUAACUUCGUGCCAGCAGCCGCGGU